CGAGCGGCACCUUCGGGUGUAGCGGCGGACGGGUGAGUAACGCGUGGGAACGUACCUUUGCUACGGAAUAGCCUCGGGAAACUGAGAGUAAUACCGUAUGUGCCCUUUGGGGGAAAGAUUUAUCGGCAAAGGAUCGGCCCGCGUUGGAUUAGGUAGUUGGUGGGGUAAUGGCCUACCAAGCCGACGAUCCAUAGCUGGUUUGAGAGGAUGACCAGCCACACUGGGACUGAGACACGGCCCAGACUCCUACGGGAGGCAGCAGUGGGGAAUCUUAGACAAUGGGGGCAACCCUGAUCUAGCCAUGCCGCGUGGACGAUGAAGGCCCUAGGGUUGUAAAGUCCUUUUCAGUGGGGAAGAUAAUGACGGUACCCACAGAAGAAGGCCCGGCUAACUCCGUGCCAGCAGCCGCGGUAAUACGGAGGGGGCUAGCGUUGUUCGGAAUUACUGGGCGUAAAGCGCGCGUAGGCGGAUCAGAAAGUCAGAGGUGAAAUCCCAGGGCUCAACCUUGGAACUGUCUUUGAAACUCCUGGUCUUGAGUUCGAGAGAGGUGAGUGGAAUUCCGAGUGUAGAGGUGAAAUUCGUAGAUAUUCGGAGGAACACCAGUGGCGAAGGCGGCUCACUGGCUCGAUACUGACGCUGAGGUGCGAAAGCGUGGGGAGCAAACA
rnacentral:rRNA from 1 species